rnacentral:lncRNA from 1 species
UGAACUAAAGAAGACAACCCUAAAGGGGACGAAGAAGAACGAAGGGACACCGAAGGGGACGCGGUAACCCUAGGAUAGAACCGAAGGGAUACAAGGAAGCCAAACCAGCGCGCAAACCAGCGCGCACGCUAAGACUACGUUUUUGAGCUAUUUAAGCCUAGUUGUAGUGAAUGGCUCCGCCAUAGUUCUAAGACUAAUUACGUUGUAGCUUUUCUUCCCCUAAAGGGGAACCCUCCGUCCCCUUUGGGUUCCCCUUUGUUUAUCCCCCUUUGGGUAACCCAAAGGGGAUGACAAGGAACCGAAGGGGACAACUAAACGUCGUUAAGCGACAACUCGGGACUUUGGGGCCUUUCAGCUAAGCCCAAGUUACUGCGCUACAACCACGCUUAUACGUUAAUUAUGUAAACGGUUUUAGCCUUACAGCGCCGAAGGCCGGCCGUCCGCUAUAAGUAACUUUAACGACGUUAAGUUGGGGGUAAUUCUUGCCUUUUGCCUUGUUUACCGUAAGUUGCAACUAAUUUUUUAAUAUUUACAUAUACAUUGAUUUAUAUAUACAAAGUGUAGUUUAGUGUAGACGUUACGCAACACGGUUUUUUAGUCAGAUGCGUAACCUGACACCUGACAUAAGUAGCCGUGUAACUGCCAAAAUCUUGUGCUAGUUGCUUUAGUAUAGUUUUACCAUAGGCCAACGGUCCUUAACUACGUGGUAAAAACACAUAUAUAAAAACUAAAUAGAUAAUAGUGACGCUUUCCUUGUCCCCCUUUGCGUUACCUUCCCCGAAGGGGACAANCCAAAGGGGACAAGGGAUUGCCCUUCUUCCCCUCUGGUUCCCCUUUAGGGGAUGACCUCAUCCCCUUUAGUUCCCCUUUAGGGGAUGAACCGAANN